UAGUAUGAGUUGGACAGAUUCCAGAUCACCAGGAGGCUCUGUGCUUCAGAGCAACAAUCCACUCACUGCAGCAACAGAUUCCAGAUCACCAGGAGGCUCUGUGCUUCAGAGGCCUGCAAUCCACUCACUGCAGCAACAGAUUCCAGAUCACCAGGAGGCUCUGUGCUUCAGAGCAACAAUCCAUUCACUGCAGCAACACAUUCCAGAUCACCAGGAGGCUCGGUGCUUCAGAGGCCUGCAAUCCAUUCACUGCAGCAACAGAUUCCAGACCAACAGGAGGCUCCGUGCUUCAGAGCAACAAUCCAUUCACUACAGCAACAGAUUCCAGAUCACCAGGAGGCUCUGUGCUUCAGAGCAACAAUCCAUUCACUGCAGCAACAGAUUCCAGAUCACCAGGAGGCUCUGUGCUUCAGAGGCCUGCAAUCCACGUCAGGCAGCAGGAAAAGCUUUGGUCUUCUCUGAGGCCUGGUUUCCUGCAUUUCUACCAGCAGCAGCACUAAGAGGCUGGACCUGAGGCCUGGACUGGCUUGGUUGGAUCAGUAGGGUUUCUGGACAUUGCUGGGGACUCCUUGGAUUCUUGAGGCCUGCAAUCCACCUCCUGAAGUAACAGCAGACUGAGAAUCAGCAAAAUGGAAGGUGAAAUGCUGCUGGGUCAACAGCAGGGGAGCUGAGAAGAGAGAGAUGAACGAGUGUGAAGAUUGGCAGCUGGAUUGCAGGGGGAGUGACAGACGCGGCUGUCAUGGGGGAUGCGUGGAAAGGGAGAGCUGCUGGUUCUAAGCGAGAAAUCCUGGUUUCGAAACGCGUUCAGGCGGUCGGUGACUGAAGAAACGGCGGCUGCGACAGUACAUAGUAAAUAGUAAAUAGAGAAUCAACAGCACAGAUCACUUCAGAAGCCUGGGUGCCUGGACAGCAUGAGUGUGCUGCAGGCAGGAGCGCAGAAUUGGAGGAUUGUCCAGGAAGAGAAAUGCAGUCACCAUUCAAAAAUUCAAUUCUGAAGAGAAAGAAGAGCGACAGAAAAACAAAGAAAGAGAGACAGGUUGAAAAAUGGGAAGGUGCAUCACUGAAAUGAGGCUGGGGGCUGGUUGAAGGUUUGCCUCAGAGAUGUUGGAUGAAGAUCUCAGUUAUGGCAGAGACCUUGGAAAAAGAUGACCCUUGCAAGCUCUCAUAGCCAGGCUAAAGGCCUGCAGUACUUGGGGAAAACCUGUCCUGCUUACAGGACAGUAGAAAAUGUACGGGUGGGGAUGAUAAGAAGAUGUUCUAAUAUUCUUUCUACUGACACCUGAAUGAAUAUUAUUGAAAGAUAAUGUUAUUGAAAGAUGUAUGUUGGGAACCACUUGAUGAACAUGUGUAUUUGUUAGAAUAUCCAUUUACAGUUUUUUUAGGUUUCUCUACAUAGAGACAGUAAACUGAGUUGUUGUUUGGUUACACAGGUGUAUGUAAGAUGUGCCUUUUUACUUCUUUGACUUAGUGUCAUCAUUGUGGAUACUAGGGCUGGGUAUCGGCAGUAAAAAUUCCAAAUCAGGGCUCCCGACAAAGUUUUUGUCUUAGGAGCCAAUGGCUCCAGGCCAAAAAGAAAAUUGCCGAAUUCAAUUACUGGGUGCCACUUCAGGAGCAAGUUAUUUGCCACCAUAUUCAACUGCUUAAAAUACAACAACUUGUUAAGACACUAAAGUGAUACUAAAACAGUGACUUAAUAUCUGUACUCGUGUGUUUGUUGUCUCAUUCUGCUGAGUGGUUAAUCUAUGCAGCUUUAUGAUUGCAAUGAACUCAGCAUGUUUAUAUUUUAAAUAUGUUGCAAGUGUUGUGUCUGGAAUUGGUGACGGCGCCUCUUAUUGUGUACAGUGUAACAUGGGAAAUAGCAUGCUACAGCUCCACUGAAGUCCUGAUUUGAGAGCAUGUAACACAGACAGCUCUUAUGAUUACAUGUUACUGUUUAUUUUUCAGUAAAAACAAGUUUAAAUUGCAGUGAGUUGGUUCUGCUAUUUAAGAUAUUAAAUACUAAAUGUUUACACAACACUCAAACACGUUUGGUCUCCGUCACAACGGCUGCAUGAAACAGGGGUUAAGGUAUUCUAUCUGUGCUAAUAAGCAUUUGUUUUAGAUUAAAUUGUUAUUAUUAUUAUUAUUAGUGCAUUUGUUUUAAAAAAAGUUUAUCGAUACAGGGGUCACUGUAUCGAUAAUCGUAUUGUCAAGAAAAAUAUCAUGGUUCACCGUGUGAAUCGAUGAAUCAGCACAUCCCUAGUGGAUACUGUAUUUUAUGAUUCUCCUCAAAAAAAGUUCCAUUACAGAUAGCGUCCAGUGAAUCAUUUCAGUUCCACAUUGUUUUAAACUAUAACCAAUGAAACAGACCAGUCACUUUCAAACAGUGUCUGUACAGUUGGUAAACUGCUAUAUUUCAUGAUCUUCUAAAAAAAGUUGUAUUAAAAGUGGUGUCUAGUGAACAUUAACCACUGUGCCACAGUAACUUAACCUGUGGACAUAUCCAUGCUGCAUAUUGUUUUCACAUAUCCUUUUUACUUCAAGUUUACAAACCAUUAAAUCGAAAAUACCAUUGCCUAAUGAACCAUACCAUUUUUUCU